AUAAUCAGAUCAAGGGGGGAAAACCCCUCCUCACGUUCAUUUCACACCAAACACCCCUUUCCCCCUACCCCCUCUCUCAUUCCUCUUCCAUAACAAACCCUAGGCGCUACCUGCAUUCUUUCUCCUCUCUCAUCGCAAAAAAUGGCAAAUGUUCAGAGGUCUCAGACCUCAGCCAACUUUUACGCAUCUAACUGCAUAAAACAAUUAAUGCUUCAGCAUUUUUUCACUCGAAAUUGCUCUAAACACGGAUUGGCUCGGAUCAACUCAUAGUGGAACAGAUCUGACCGUGUAUGCUUGUUAUCUUUAAAUCCUAAGCGUUAAUUUCCUAUAUUGAGUGUUUGUUCCUGAGAAAUUUUGUUGUCCCACAUCGAUUUUUGAAGUCUUUGAAUGCAACUUUGGGCUUCUUAAAUAGAACCCCAAACCUUACCAGAAAAACAAGUUUGAAACCCUCAUAGCUUGAAUUUUGAGUAAAUAACUCGGAAAUUUUAGCUCUCAGUUUUAAAAUUUCAAGACUUAACUGUAAAAGUAGAGUCUUAGUAGUCCAAAUAUUUAUUUACUUGUUUUCCUUUCUUUGUGGGGCUGAGUCUUGAGAUUGGAAGCAUAAGGUUUCCAAAUUCAUUCUUGACAGAGGCUGCACAUUAAAAAGCCAAGUCCAAUCAACUUGUUGGGCCCUUCAAAUACAUAUCGAGUUCGAAGACAAAUGGAAGCUAAUAUAAACACAAAGAAGGCCCAGCCAUGGGUGAAAAUGGUCAAUUAGGGGCUUCGUACACCCCUAGCCUUCCCUUCUCUUAUUCUAUUUAUUUACAUUUUCUUCCCAUGUAUAAUUUCGUUGUGUUUCGUAUUUGUACUAACCUAUAAUACUCAUAUAUUAUAGUGGAAUAUUUAUUGUUUGAA